rnacentral:rRNA from 1 species
UACGUAGGGCGCAAGCGUUGUCCGGAAUUACUGGGCGUAAAGCGCACGUAGGCGGAUCUUUAAGUCAGAGGUGAAAUCCCAAGGCUCAACCUUGGAACUGCCUUUGAUACUGGGGAUCUUGAGUCCGGAAGAGGUGAGUGGAACUGCGAGUGUAGAGGUGAAAUUCGUAGAUAUUCGCAAGAACACCAGUGGCGAAGGCGGCUCACUGGUCCGGUACUGACGCUGAGGUGCGAAAGCGUGGGGAGCGAACAGG